AUUGAACGCUGGCGGCAGGCCUAACACAUGCAAGUCGAACGAGUGGCGGACGGGUGAGUAAUGUCUGGGAAACUGCCCGAUGGAGGGGGAUAACUCCUGGAAACGGUAGCUAAUACCGCAUACCAUCGGAUGUGCCCAGAGGGGAUUCGCUUGUAGGUGAGGUAACGGCUCACCUAGGCGACGAUCCCUAGCGGGUCUGAGAGGAUGACCAGCCACACUGGAACUGUGACACGGUCCGGACUCCUACGGGGGGACGCAGUGGGGAAUAUUGCACAAUGGUGGCAAGCCUGAUGCAGCCAUGCCGCGGGUAUGAAUAAGGCCUUCGGGUUGUAAAUUCCUUUCAGCGGGGAGGCGUUACCCGCAGAAGAAGCACCGGCUAACUCCGUGCCAGCAGCCGCGGUAAUUC
rnacentral:rRNA from 1 species